GCCUCCCUACGGGGGGCAGCAGUAGGGAAUCUUCCACAAUGGACGAAAGUCUGAUGGAGCAACGCCGCGUGAGUGAAGAAGGGUUUCGGCUCGUAAAGCUCUGUUGGGAGUGAAGAAAGACAGAGGGAGUAACUGGCCUUUAUUUGACGGUAAUUACUUAGAAAGUCACGGCUAACUACGUGCCAGCAGCCGCGGUAAUACGUAGGUGGCAAGCGUUGUCCGGAUUUAUUGGGCGUAAAGCGAGAGCGGGCGGGUCAAUAAGUCUGAUGUGAAAGCCUUCGG
rnacentral:rRNA from 1 species